AGAGUUUGAUCAUGGCUCAGAUUGAACGCUGGCGGUAGGCUUAACACAUGCAAGUCGAGCGGAAACGAAGAAAAGCUUGCUUUUCAGGCGUCGAGCGGCGGACGGGUGAGUAACGCGUAGGAAUCUGCCUAGUAGUGGGGGACAACCUGUGGAAACGCAGGCUAAUACCGCAUAAUCCCUGAGGGGGAAAGGAGGGGAUCUUCGGACCUUUCGCUAUUAGAUGAGCCUGCGUGAGAUUAGCUAGUUGGUGAGGUAAAGGCUCACCAAGGCGACGAUCUCUAGCUGGUCUGAGAGGAUGAUCAGCCACACUGGGACUGAGACACGGCCCAGACUCCUACGGGAGGCAGCAGUGGGGAAUAUUGGACAAUGGGCGCAAGCCUGAUCCAGCCAUACCGCGUGUGUGAAGAAGGCCUUAGGGUUGUAAAGCACUUUCAGAAGGGAGGAAAGGUUAAUGUUUAAUACGCAUUAGCUGUGACGU
rnacentral:rRNA from 1 species